AUACGUAGGUGGCAAGCGUUAUCCGGAUUUACUGGGUGUAAAGGGCGUGUAGGCGGAGAUGCAAGUCAGGAGUGAAAUCUAGGGGCUCAACCCCUAAACUGCUUUUGAAACUGUAUCCCUUGAGUAUCGGAGAGGCAGGCGGGAGUCCUAGUGUAUCGGUGGAAAGCGUAGAUAUUAGGAGGAACACCAGUGGCGAAGGCGGCCUGCUGGACGACAACUGACGCUGAGGCGCGAAAGCGUGGGGAGCAAACAGGAUUAGAUACCCUGGUAGUCCACGCUGUAAACGAUGAAUACUAGGUGUGGGGGGACUGACCCCCUCCGUGCCGCAGUUAACACAAUAAGUAUUCCACCUGGGGAGUACGAUCGCAAGAUUGAAACUCAAAGGAAUUGGCGGGG
rnacentral:rRNA from 1 species